rnacentral:rRNA from 1 species
CAAUAGCGUAUAUUAAAGUUGUUGCAGGUAAAAAGCUCGUAGUUGGAUUUCUGGUUGAAGCGACCGGUCGGGCGUUGAUUCGUCUGCACUGGAGUCGGUUUUGGCCAUCCUCUAGGAAAGUGCGUCUGGUAUUAAGUUAUCGGGCGUAUGAUCCUGGUCUUUUACUGUGAAAAAAUUAGAGUGUUUAAAGCAGGCCUUCGCCUUGAAUACAUUAGCAUGGAAUAAUAGGAUAGGACUUUGGUCUAUUUUGUUGGUUUGCAGACCGAAGUAAUGAUUAAUAGGGAUAGUUGGGGGUAUUUAUAUUCCGAUGUCAGAGGUGAAAUUCUUAGAUUUUCGGAAGAUAAACUUAUGCGAAAGCAUUUACCAAGGAUGUUUNCAUUAA